rnacentral:rRNA from 1 species
GACGAACGCUGGCGGCGUGCUUAACACAUGCAAGUCGAACGGAAAGGCCCUGCUUUUGUGGGGUGCUCGAGCGGCGAACGGGUGAGUAACACGUGAGUAACCUGCCCUUGACUUUGGGAUAACUUCAGGAAACUGGGGCUAAUACCGGAUAGGAGCUCCUGCUGCAUGGUGGGGGUUGGAAAGUUUCGGCGGUUGGGGAUGGACUCGCGGCUUAUCAGCUUGUUGGUGGGGUAGUGGCUUACCAAGGCUUUGACGGGUAGCCGGCCUGAGAGGGUGACCGGCCACAUUGGGACUGAGAUACGGCCCAGACUCAUACGGGAGGCAGCAGUGGGGAAUAUUGCACAAUGGGCGGAAGCCUGAUGCAGCAACGCCGCGUGCGGGAUGACGGCCUUCGGGUUGUAAACCGCUUUCGCCUGUGACGAAGCGUGAGUGACGGGAAUGGGUAAAGAAGCACCGGCGAACUACGU